rnacentral:rRNA from 1 species
UGGCGCGUGCUAAUAAUGCAGUCGAGCGAACAGAUGAGAAGCUUGCUUCUCUGAUGUUAGCGGCGGACGGGUGAGUAACACGUGGGUAACCUACCUAUAAGACUGGGAUAACUCCGGGAAACCGGGGCUAAUACCGGAUAAUAUUUUGAACCGCAUGGUUCAAUAGUGAAAGACGGUUUCGGCUGUCACUUAUAGAUGGACCCGCGCCGUAUUAGCUAGUUGGUAAGGUAACGGCUUACCAAGGCGACGAUACGUAGCCGACCUGAGAGGGUGAUCGGCCACACUGGAACUGAGACACGGUCCAGACUCCUACGGGAGGCAGCAGUAGGGAAUCUUCCGCAAUGGGCGAAAGCCUGACGGAGCAACGCCGCGUGAGUGAUGAAGGUCUUCGGAUCGUAAAACUCUGUUGUUAGGGAAGAACAAAUUUGUUAGUAACUGAACAAGUCUUGACGGUACCUAACCAGAAAGCCACGGCUAACUACGUGCCAGCAGCCGCGGUAAUACGUAGGUGGCAAGCGUUAUCCGGAAUUAUUGGGCGUAAAGCGCGCGUAGGCGGUUUCUUAAGUCUGAUGUGAAAGCCCACGGCUCAACCGUGGAGGGUCAUUGGAAACUGGGAAACUUGAGUGCAGAAGAGGAGAGUGGAAUUCCAUGUGUAGCGGUGAAAUGCGCAGAGAUAUGGAGGAACACCAGUGGCGAAGGCGGCUCUCUGGUCUGUAACUGACGCUGAUGUGCGAAAGCGUGGGGAUCAAACAGGAUUAGAUACCCUGGUAGUCCACGCCGUAAACGAUGAGUGCUAAGUGUUAGGGGGUUUCCGCCCCUUAGUGCUGCAGCUAACGCAUUAAGCACUCCGCCUGGGGAGUACGACCGCAAGGUUGAAACUCAAAGGAAUUGACGGGGACCCGCACAAGCGGUGGAGCAUGUGGUUUAAUUCGAAGCAACGCGAAGAACCUUACCAAAUCUUGACAUCCUUUGACCGCUCUAGAGAUAGAGUCUUCCCCUUCGGGGGACAAAGUGACAGGUGGUGCAUGGUUGUCGUCAGCUCGUGUCGUGAGAUGUUGGGUUAAGUCCCGCAACGAGCGCAACCCUUAAGCUUAGUUGCCAUCAUUAAGUUGGGCACUCUAGGUUGACUGCCGGUGACAAACCGGAGGAAGGUGGGGAUGACGUCAAAUCAUCAUGCCCCUUAUGAUUUGGGCUACACACGUGCUACAAUGGAUAAUACAAAGGGCAGCGAAUCCGCGAGGCCAAGCAAAUCCCAUAAAAUUAUUCUCAGUUCGGAUUGUAGUCUGCAACUCGACUACAUGAAGCUGGAAUCGCUAGUAAUCGUAGAUCAGCAUGCUACGGUGAAUACGUUCCCGGGUCUUGUACACACCGCCCGUCACACCACGAGAGUUUGUAACACCCGAAGCCGGUGGAGUAACCUUUUAGGAGCUAGCCGUCG